rnacentral:rRNA from 1 species
GUGACUGCGUACCUUUUGUAUAAUGGGUCAGCGACUUAUAUUCUGUAGCAAGGUUAACCGAAUAGGGGAGCCGGAGGGAAACCGAGUCUUAAUUGGGCGUUAAGUUGCAGGGUAUAGACCCGAAACCCGGUGAUCUAGCCAUGGGCAGGUUGAAGGUUGGGUAACACUAACUGGAGGACCGAACCGACUAAUGUUGAAAAAUUAGCGGAUGACCUGUGGCUGGGGGUGAAAGGCCAAUCAAACCGGGAGAUAGCUGGUUCUCCCCGAAAGCUAUUUAGGUAGCGCCUCGUGAAUUCAUCUCCGGGGGUAGAGCACUGUUUCGGCUAGGGGGCCAUCCCGGCUUACCAACCCGAUGCAAACUGCGAAUACCGGAGAAUGUUAUCACGGGAGACACACGGCGGGUGCUAACGUCCGUCGUGAAGAGGGAAACAACCCAGACCGCCAGCUAAGGUCCCAAAGUCAUGGUUAAGUGGGAAACGAUGUGGGAAGGCCCAGACAGCCAGGAUGUUGGCUUAGAAGCAGCCAUCAUUUAAAGAAAGCGUAAUAGCUCACUGGUCGAGUCGGCCUGCGCGGAAGAUGUAACGGGGCUAAACCAUGCACCGAAGCUGCGGCAGCGACACUGUGUGUUGUUGGGUAGGGGAGCGUU